GGACCAGCAGAUUACAGCUGUUAUCAUCAACAGGAAGGAGCACAAGCUAAAGAUAUUGUGACUAACUCUUGAAAUUCCAGCAUUUGGGAGACUGAGUCAGGAAGCUCAUCUUGAGUUCAAGGCCACCUUGACUACUAGUGAAACUACCUUAUUGAACAGCACAGCCAAUCAUGCGGCUCCGUAAAGUCAAUACAGCAUAAUGCUACCAAGUCUAUUCCCUGCUACUCUCUAAAAUCAAAGACAUUUACAACUCUACACCUUGUUUUUCCUUUUUAAAAAAUAAAAAUAUCUUCACCUUUC
rnacentral:lncRNA from 1 species